rnacentral:rRNA from 1 species
UACGAAGGGUGCAAACGUUGCUCGGAAUUAUUGGGCGUAAAGCGCACGUAGGCGGCUUGGCAAGUCGGAUGUGAAAUCCCUCGGCUCAACCAAGGAAGUGCAUCCGAAACUGCUGAGCUUGAGUACUUAAGAGGAUCGCGGAAUUCCAGGUGUAGCGGUGAAAUGCGUAGAUAUCUGGAGGAACACCGGUGGCGAAGGCGGCAUCCUGGACCGACACUGACGCUGAGGAGCGAAAGCCAGGGGAGCAAACGGG